AUUUUUGUUGUGAGAACAUUGUCCAAUACUUCAGUUUUCUGUUCUUAUCAGAUUAAUAUCUGAUAGGGUCCCUAUUUGUAGCCGUGGAUGGUAAACUGAUUUUUAGAAUGAGGUGAAGAAUUAGAGGCUUGAUCCACCUUUGCCAUGGGUCGUAUCUUUGCCAUUCAGCUCAUUUUCC
rnacentral:snRNA from 1 species